rnacentral:rRNA from 1 species
GGGAGGCAGCAGUAGGGGAUCUUCCGCAAUGGACGAAAGUCUGACGGAGCAACGCCCCGUGAGUGAUGAAGGCUUUCGGGUCGGAAAACUCUGUUGUUAGGGAAGAACAAGUGCUAGUUGAAUAAGCUGGCACCUUGACGGUAUCUAACCAGAAAGCCACGGCUAACUACGUGCCAGCAGCCGCGGUAAUACGUAGGUGGCAAGCGUUAUCCGGAAUUAUUGGGCGUAAAGCGCGCCCAGGUGGUUUCUUAAGUCUGAUGUGAAAGCCCACGGCUCAACCGUGGAGGGUCAUUGGAAACUGGGAGACUUGAGUGCAGAAGAGGAAAGUGGAAUUCCAUGUGUAGCGGUGAGAUGCGUAGAGAUAUGGGGGAACACCAGUGGCGAAGGCGACUUUCUGGUCUGUAACUGACACUGAGGCGCGAAAGCGUGGGGAGCAAACCCGAUUAGAUACCCUGGUAGUCCACGCCGUAAACGAUGAGUGCUAAGUGUUAGAGGGUUUCCGCCCUUUAGUGCUGAAGUUAACGCAUUAAGCACUCGCCCUGGGGAGUACGGCCGCAAGGCUGAAACUCAAAGGAAUUGACGGGGGCCC